rnacentral:rRNA from 1 species
UACGUAGGGGGCAAGCGUUGUCCGGAUUUAUUGGGCGUAAAGAGCGUGUAGGCGGCCGCACAGGUCCGUUGUGAAAACUGGAGGCUUAACCUUCAGACGUCGAUGGAAACCGUGCGGCUAGAGUCCGGAAGAGGAGAAUGGAAUUCCUGGUGUAGCGGUGAAAUGCGCAGAUAUCAGGAAGAACACCCGUGGCGAAAGCGGCUCUCUGGAACGGUACUGACGCUGAGACGCGAAAGCGUGGGGAGCGAACAGG